CUCAGAUACUUUUAGCAUAACCCUGUCACAGAAAAAUUUUAUUAUUUAUUAUUAUGAUCACUUAUUAUUUGACUUGGACAGCAAAUAUAUGAUUUAUUUGCCAAACUGAGAAAAUGGCUGCCGAAGGCAACAUUGGGCUAAAAUAUAAACUCAUUUAUAAAAAUUUUACCAAAAAGAAGAUGAUUAUGAGCAGAAUUGUCAUUUUCAUUUUUAGUGUGAGAACAUUUUAUUGAAACAAGCAAAUAAAACAGUAAUCAAGGAAACCAUACAUAUCACUUUAUACGAUAGAAUAUACAAGUGUCAGGAGUGAAAUAAAAUCUCAGGUCAAUUACGGAAAGAAUGAUCUCACCCAGUAAGUUCACCCUUAGAAGUUCCUUCAAGAAGAUAGGAAUCUAAUUUAUAUUAUACAUACACACAAAUUAUAUACGCACACAUAUUAUAUGCAAACAUAGUAUGUUAUACACAUGUAAACACAAACAUGUUUAUGUGUAUGCAUAUAUAAGUAUACACACACAUGUAUACAAACUGUCUACACACUUAGAAGAUAAGGAACACACACAUUUUGAAUGGUAACUGAGAUUGUGACUCCUCUUCUGCUUCAAGAGUUUUUUUUUUUUUUUUUGGCCAUUUAGGAAGUAUGUUUUUCUACAUAUAAACAGCAUUUCAAAAUUGCCUUUCAAGGAAUCUCUAAGACCAUCAGAUAAGGCAGAAUCCUCUUGAAACAAAUGGUCAACCACAAAUAUUUCUCUUUCUUAGAGAGUUAAUUUUAAUGUUACUUUUUAAUCUAUAAAAAUUUGACAUGUAAGUAAUCUUCUUGACUGCUUUUUUAAUACAAAAGGUAUCUGAGUUUAUCAUCAUGAACAGUCUCCCCAAGACUCAGAUGUUUAAUGAGUUGACAUGGCCCCAGCUAAUUCAUUAUUAAAAAACAAAAACAAACAAAAAAUUUAUUUUAAACUUUCUUUUAAAAUUUUGAGUUUUAGAUUCUCUCCUCUCCCACAACUCCCCUACCCACUAAAAAGGCAACAAUGAUGUCAAUUAUACAUGUUAAGUCGUGCACAUUAACAAAAAAAGCACGCAAAAAAGUUUUAAAACUAUAAUUCAAUUUCUCUAAGUUCAUCAAUUCUCUCUCUGCAAAUGGACAGCAUUUUUUCAUCAUAAGUCCUUUGGAGUUAUCUUGGAUCACUGUAUUGAUCAGUGACCAAAUUUUUCACAGCUGAUUAUCAUUACAUUGCUGUCACUAUGCACAAAGAUUUUCUGGUUCUUCUCACUUCACUUUGCAUAAGUUCAUAAUAAUUCUUGCCAUUUUAAAUGAUGGACAUCUUUAUUUCCAAUUCUUUGACAUCACAAAUGAACUGCUAUUAAUAUUUUGUAUAUAGAUACUUUUCCUUUUACUUUGAUCUCUUUGCGAUACAGACCUAGUAGUGGUAUUAUUGCUGGACCAAAAAGAGUAUGCAGAAUUUUAUAGUCCCUUGGAAAUAUUUCCAAAUUGUUCUCAAGAAUAGACUCAUGAUGAAAAAGGCCAAUCAUUUCCAGAGAAAGAACUGAUGAAAUUUGAAUGCAGAUUGAAGCAUACUAUUUUUCUUUUUUGGUCUGUUUUAUUUCAUAACAAUGACUAAUGGAACUAUAUUUUGCAUAAUUAUAUAUGUAAUUUGUGUCAAAUUGCUUGUUAUCUCGGGGGGAAGGAAAGAAUUUGGAACUCAAAAUUUUUUAGUUAUUUUUUUACAUGUAAUUAAGGUCCUCCUUACAUUUGUAUAUAAUUUCUCCAGCAUUUGUCAUUUCUAAUUGGUGAGGUGGUCCUUCUGUUUUAUCUUUCUCUAAUCAAUAAUGAUUUAGAGCAAUUUUUUCAUGACUAUAGUUUUAAUUUCUUCUGAACGCUGCCUUUGACUAUUUAUCAACUGGGGAAUGGCUCCUAUUUUAUAAAUUUAACUCAGUUCCCUAUACAGUUGAGAAAUGAGGCUUUUAUUUAAAAAAAAAAAAAAACUUGCUUUAUAUUACUUCAUUGUUUAGUAUGGUAGCAUUUAGUAACAGUCUCCCUGAUUAUCUCUUAAUUAGGUUUAUUUUUGCUUUUGCUCUAAAAUCAUGACUGCUACUCCUACCUUUCUGACUUCAGCUGCAGUAUAAUAUAUUCUGUUCAGGCUCUUUAUUUUUAACUCUUGUGUAUCUUUUUGUUUCAAGUUUCUCUCCUGUAGACAAGAUUGUUGAAUUCUGGUUUCCAAUCCAUUCUGCUAUUUGCUUGUUUUAUGGGUUAGCUUAUCUUAUUCACAUUCACUCUUAUGAUUAUUUUUUAUUUUUCUCCAACCUAUUUUCUUCUAUUUAUCCUUCCAUUUUUUAUAUUGUUCCUCCUCAGGUCUGUUUUGCAUUUGAUCUUCCUUAAUCCAACUUCAAUUUAGUCAUGCCUCUCAUCUCCUAUCCCUCCUAUUUCCUAUUGGGUAGUAUAAAUUUGUGAGGGGGAGGGGAAAGAAAAAAAAAACUUUCUCCAUUUUACUUUUCCCUUUCUCCUCCCAUUGCAUUCUUUUUUCUCACCCUUUUUUUUUUUUUUUGAGAUCAUUGCAACAUAAUUGACUCACUCAUGCCCUCAGUCUACAUAGACUCUUAACUGCCCAAUGUAGAACUUACAUGUAUCAUCUUCCCAUAUAAGAAGGUAAGCAAUUUAAGUUGAGUCUUACAUACUUACUCUUUUAUAUUCAUGUAACUUUUUAUACAUCUCUUGAGUCUUGUAUUUCAAAGUCAAAUUUUCUAUUCACCUCUGGUCUUUUCAACAGAAAUGCUUGGAAGUACUCUAUUUCAUUAAAUAAUCUAUUUUUUUUUUCCUCUUUAGGAUUACAUUCAGUUUUGGUGGAUAGGUGAUUGUUGGUUGCAAUCCUAGCUCCUUUACCUUCUGGAACCUCGUAUUCCAAGCCUUUUGUUCCUUUAACAUGGAAGUUGCAAUGCCUUAUGUGAUCCUAAUAGUGGCUUCAUGAUAUUUAAAAUUGUUUCUUUCUGGCUGCUUGCAACAUUUUCUCCUUGAUCAGGGAGUGCUAAAAAAAUUCCUGGAUGUUUUCAUUUGGAGAUCUUUUUUUGAGUUAAUCAAUAGAUUUUUUCAAUUUCUCUUUUAGUCUUUGGACCUAAGAUAUCCUUUUUAUAUCUUAUCAUCAGUUUUCCUUCAUAAUUUUUUGAAAUAUGUCUAGGUUCUUUUUUUGUUCAUGGCUUUCAGGUAGUUCAAUAAUUCUUAAAUUAUUUCCUCAAUCUAUUCUCUUAAAUGUUUUCCCAAUAAUAUUUCAUUUUCUUCUAUUUUUUCCUUUCUUUUGAUUUUUUUUUCAAUUACUUUUUGAAGUCUUCAUUAUCUUCCAGAUGCCCAAUUCUAUUUUUUAAGGAUUAUUUUCUUCAAUGAGCUUUUUUGCUUCUUUUUUUCUCAAAGAGCAAUUCUGCUUUUUAAGAAGUUCUUUAAUGAUUUUUUGCUCUUCUUUUGCCAUUUGGCCUAUUGUUUUUUAAGGUGGUUACUUCAAUAUUUUUUGUGCCUCUUUUAUCGUUAUUCUCUUUUCAUAAUUUUCUUGAAUCACUCAUUUCUUUCCCUAAUUUUUCCUCUGCUACUCUUAUCUCUAUCUUUAACUCUUCUAGGAAAUCUUGCUGGUCUUGGGUCCAAUUAGCAUUUUUCUUUGAGGAAUUAUCUGUAGCCAUUUUCACACUGCCAUUUUCAUUUAAAAUUACGUCUUAGUCUUCUCUGCAAUUGUAGUAGCUUAUGAUUGUGUUCUUUUUUUGUUGUUGUUUGCUCAUUUUUCCCUAAAUUAUUAUUUUCUUUACUUUGAACUUCAUGUUAGAGUUGGCCUCUGUUCCUGUGGUGAUGGGGAGGUAGGGUCAAACUUCAGAGGGUUUUGUGCAGCUGUUUUCAGAGCUAGUUCUCAGAAUUUGAAAGGUUUGGUGCUUCCAAGCUGGUGUGGUGUUCCAGGCCUUCACCUUCUGUAUGACAGAUCUCUCCUGUGAUGGAAAAAUGUCUCCUUCACUUCUGUUGGCUCUGUAGCUACAAAAUCUAAUUUAAGGAAUUAUUUUAAAGUUUUAGAGUAACGUUGGGAGAAUUCACCUCUGUCCUGGCCUUACUCUGCUAUCUUGAUUUCUGUACUGACAUUUUCAAGACAGAAAAGAACCUGCAAAUUGUAGCCUAGUGAGCAUGUCUUGGCAUUAAUUAUCCAUUCCAUGCUGUAGGAUUUAAGAGUACAGUACUCCCUUCAUACUACAGAAGUUUUAAUUUUCUUCUUUGAUGAGCUAUUUAUAGUAUCUUAUUGUAAAAUUUGGGUGAAAUAUUUGGUUAAAGGCUGUGUCAUCUGCUGGCUUUCACGUGUCAUUUGCAACUUCUGCAAAAUGCCCCUUAAAGUACCAUUUAAUUUAUGCUGACCCACAAUCUAUCAAAUACCAUAGUUAUAAUGUGGAAGGAAUAUCUUGUAUUUAUUCUUCUUAGGCUUUAGGUACUGUUCAGGCCCCAUAGCAUUAAUGUUUUAAAGAUUUAGCAUAGUAGUCUUUAAUCUUGUCAAGUAAUAUGGGGAUAGAUUAACUGUACUUAGGCCUGAUUUAAAGGGAAUCAUAAUUGUCAUGGGGCAUCUAGGUGGUAUAGUAGUCUUAGGCCUGAGUUUGGAAAAAUUUAGUUCAAAUCUAAUUUCAGACAUUUAUUAACUGUGUCACUAAACUUAUGUCUCAGUUUCCUCAACUGUAAAAUGGAGAUAAUAGCACCUAUCUCCCAGAAUUGUUGCGAGGAUCAAAUUAGGUAUUUAUAAAGUACUUAGCAGUGUAUCUGGCACAUAUUAGGUACUCUAUUAUUAUUAUUAGCUAAUAUCAAGAGGAGAGGAUAGCUCUAUGGAUUUGGUGAUUUAUCAUUGCCAGUAGGGCUGCUGGUAUUACCUGUAUCUGUUAGCUGUGGUUGAGGAAUGGCGAUUGUGGUAGCUCUCUUCAACUGUCUUAAGGGUUGUUACAUGGAAAAGGGCUAUCACCAAAAUCAAUGGAUGGAAGCUGCACAGGCUCAAGUUUAGGAAAAUCAUUUUAUUUUAAUAAUCCAAAAAGGGAACAGGAUAACCUUGAAAGAAAAAGGGUUUUCUCUCCUUGGUUGUCAAGUAGAAGUUUAAAGCGGGGAUUCCUUGAAAUGAGAGAUGGUUGCUGAGGUCUCUUGCAACUCUCAAAUUUUGUAAUUUCAUUUCUUUUUAAGAAAAUUUCAGAAAGUUUUCUCAUCUCAAUUAUUUAUCUUCAGAAUUUCAUUCUUCAAAACUGCUCAUCCUUUUAAAAUGAACUUUCCCUGUAGAAUUUUAGUCCACAAGAUCCCAAGGUGGUUUUUCCAAAUUUUCUGAAACAGGCACUCCCCAAGUCUAUGGUAUAUACAUCAGACUAUGCCUAAUUUUCCUCUCUUUGAUCAUAAAUUCUAAGGGGAGUAGAUGUGCAACAGUUUCUCCCUACCUAUUCAUCAGAAUUAAGUCAAAAAUAGCAGUUCCCCUUACCUUUUCUCCUACUUUUGGAAAAGUGAAAUAAUCUUUAAAGGCAGGCAAAAUUUCAUGUAUGCCAGCCAUAUCUGUUCCCCUAACUGGAGACUUAGGUUACUGAAUAAUGUUUAAUUUAUAGCAAGAAAGAACAUUAGUCUGCUCACUUUUGAUUGGCAAUUAAGUAAAUUUAUUAUUGACUCUUUUCUUCUUUUUUUUUGCUGAGGCCCUGGGUCAUAUAGCUAUUGGCUUUUUUUCUUAAAGAGAAUAUGUCAGAUAAGUAAAGUCCCUUAUUACUGUAGAAGCACAUUCAAAGCCUCUUCUUUAGUAAAAUUGAAAAUACUAAUAUAUUUCUCUAGUCUUUUCCUUUCCAGGCUUCCCAUGAAAGCCUUUCUUAGAGAAAUAUUUUAAGGGUGGCAACCAAAAUUUAGAACAGAAAGUACCUAUCUGGUUAAAAUAUAGCCUUCCCUACUCCCUGAAGUUACUGGACUAUUGAUCUAUUCUUUGUACAUCCUCUUAAAUGAUGGAGUGAUUCUCCACUGAGAAAAAGUUAAUGUAUUGAUUACAGUAGUGUUUACCUAGGAACCCAAUGAUUCUUUGAAGAUAGUAGUAUAAGAAGGAAAGGAUAACUUUGUUACUUAACUAUUUUGGAAUAGCUUGGAAGCUAUUCCAAACUAACAUAUUAUGACUUUUUCUUGGUUCAAGAUUCCUAUAAACAUUUCCUCAAAUAAUUUUCAGAUAGCAGAGAUGUACCAGAAAGCAUGGGAAACUAUGCUAGUUUGGACAUCCUUCAAUCUAAGUUAAAAAUGGCCUGGACACAGAUUAAUGUUAAAUGAAACUUUUUUCUUUAACACUUACCCUAACAUGGAGGUCAUAAGUUUUUUUUUUUUUUCUUUCAAUAAUACAGCAUAAUGCUUCCGGUCUCUUGAAUUCCUUAUUUAUAUUAUCCUUCUGUCUAGGUACUCUAUAAUAUAAGUCAGUAACAGUAUUGUUUGUUUCUUCUUAAAAUGUUUUUCAUCCAAAAACUUUCCAUGACCAUGAACUCCAUCACUUUCACUCCUCAGUUCUUUUCUGACCAUUACCCUUAUACUGGCUAUAGUCUCCUUUAUUACUUAUCUUGAUCCCUUGGUAAACCAACUCAAUUUGAUUCUACGCUUUACUCUCCAGUUCUUUGCCCCCUUCCGAGGCUGACCAUGUUUUGCCAAACCCCAACCCUAGAUCAUUUAUACCUUCUGUGUCCUUCACUCCUACUGAUGUAUUGCUGAAGAGUUGGAAGAAUUGAUUGGGUCCACUACACAUUUAUAUUAUCUAAUUUCAACUUGGCCUUCAUUACAGCAAGACAAUCACCUCCAAUGGAAUUAUUCCAAACUUUCUCAGCUCUUCUCAAGCCUCCCACGGUAUUCUCUCUUCUUCCAGAAAUCUUCUACCUCACUUCACUGAAAAUACUAAGGCUAUUCACCUGCAAUUCUCUUUAUCUCAUAUAAUUCAGAUAUCUAUCCCAAUUACAUCCUUUCUUCUGGUCUUGAAGAAGCUGCCCUUUUUGCCAAGCCCAAUUACUCAACAUGUACCAUGGAUCACAUCUCCUCCCAUCUUUUCUAGUAGAUUGCCUUCACCAUCAACUUUCUCUCUCCUCUUAUCUGACAUCUUUCAAGGUACCUACAGACAUGUCCAUGCCUUUCCUGUCCUUUAAAAAAAAAAAAAUAAAAUAAAGCAAACAAAAAAAACCCUAACUUAUUUAACUAUCUGCUAAUUAUCAUCUGACUUCUUUCCUUUCAUAACUAAACUCCUUAAGAAACCCUUUAUGCUAGGUACCUACAAUUCCUCUUUUAAUCUGUAUUUUGACUUCUGACCUCACCAAUCAAAUGAAAUUGUAUUCCCCAUUUACUGUUGCAAAGUCUAAUACCUUCUCAAGCAUCAUACUUCUUGACUUCUCUGUAGUAUUUGAUGCAAUUAGCUACUCUCCCCUCCCUUUCCUAGACGUUCUCUUCUGUCUUUAUGAUAUGACUCGUUUUUUCUUUCUCUAAUUACUCCUUCUCAGUCUUCUUUAUUGCAUCUUUCUCUAAAUCAUGUUCACUACAAUGGAUCAACCCAAUUUAUCUCUAUUGGUUCUCUGUUAAAACUUCUUUAGCAGUUUUUUAUAGAUGAGAUGCUUGGGUUCCUUUAUAGCACAGCAAUUUAUAUUUCACAAGCUAUUGAGUUCCAAAGGGAGAGGACCAGACACUAAGGUUUGAAUUAGAAAUCAAGAAAUACAAAAAGGCAGAAGAUCUGGAUUUAAACCCUAGUCCUGCUAUAUACUACCUGUGUGGCCUUGGAUUUCAGCUUCCUGAUUUGAAACUGACUGAAGUGGACUAGAUGGACCUCUGAAGUCCUUUCCAACUCUAGAUCUCUGGUGUUAUGAGCCUUCUAAUGAAUUUACAAUUUGGAAAUUAUAGUGUUUCAUAUAAUUCAAAUAUAGUUUAAUAAAAUUUGGGAGGUUCAGAUAACUCUUGAUCUGUAGACAACCUCUAAAAAAAAUCCUGUAGAACAACAAUGACAAUGGGACCUAAAAAAAAAGAAAAAUCCCAUUUCAAUGUUUUCUGUUUCUCAGCAUUUCUCUUCAGAAGAAAUCUUGGCAACCAGGGACAAGUGACAACUUUCAAUGACUUGAGAGUGUGUGUAUGUGUUUACAGUUUCCACAAAAUGUAGAUGGGUUAAAUGCUGUCAAUUAAGAUCAAUGAAAUUCUGUUCCCCAAUUCCUUGAUAGGAAAGAUAGAAGAAAAAAUUAAGUGGAAAAAGAUACUAUAAUUUUUCUCAUUUCAGUUCAGUUUACUGAUGGUUUUGAUCAGGGUAUAUUUGUACCCAUUAUAGAGAUGACUGCUUUAGAUUUAUUCUUCAAAAAUUUUAUAUAUGAGGUAACAGAAUCUGCAAGCAUUGUGAAGCCCUGGUUUAAAAUAUUAACCUAACUUUAAGAAGUCUUUUUUGACAAAGAGUGUUUCUCUUUCUCUCUUUUUUUUUUAUGCUGAGACAAUUGGGGUUAAAUGACUUGCCCAGGGUCACACAGCUAGGAAGUGUUAAAUGUCUGAGGCCAAAUUUGAAUUCAGAUCCUCCUGAUUUCAGGGCUGGUGCUCUAUCUAGCUGCCCCAAGUGUUUCUCUUUUGAUUUUUCUUUGAUUCAAAUUUAGAGUUCAGGUCUGUGUAAGAAGCAGAGUUAAGUCUAUUAUUCAAAUGAUCAACUCAAUACCAUGCUGAUAUGAACCACUAAAACAGUUAACUAGUAGGGAAUUUCAAGAAAUAAUGUUAAACUGUGAACAUUUUAAUAAGUAUAUCUUCCCCAUGCACAGAAUCAAUCUGGAAAAAAUAAUAGCUAGCAUUUAUGUAUCAUUUGAAAAUAUGCAAAAUGCUUUACAUAUGUUAACUCGUUUAAACUUCAUAACAAUCUGGUUUAAUUUAUAGUAUUAUUCCCACUUAAAAAUGAGGAAAUUGAGGCUCAGGAAAGUUAAUUAACUUGCCCAUAU
ensembl:lncRNA